GCCAGAUCUUUGCUAGGUAUAUUUUCGCGCGCUUUUACCACGCUUCCGUAUAUCUUUUGUUAUUAACGUUGCGUCCAAUAAAUAUAUAAGCAAAAGUCCGUCAUACGUGGUUACAAUGAAUUCACCACUUAAAAUAUCAAAUUGGACUCCUGCACACGUUAUUGCAAAUCAAUCAAGUUGCAACUUACUUCUGGAAAAUCCGGAUGCUUUAAAGGAAAUUCCUUCAUUAAACAAUGCACCUCUUCGUAACUUCACGGACUGGCAAUUGGUUCGUUUUAGAGGAAUGGUUCAAGACAUGCAUAAUCCAGAAUUCUAUUUUGAAAAAUACGAAGUCAAAAAUAAUGAAACUGAAACUUACGAAGUUAGAUGUGGAAUGUAUGCUGAUUAUGUUCAGUGCCUGCCGCAUGAAGAGAUUUUAGUUGACUCAAAGAAAAACCAAAAUUCAGAAAGACAUACUUGCUUUGUUAUAUCGAUACCUGGUUUGAAUGAUUGGGCAAAGGAAAAGUAUGAACACUUUCCUUAUCAUAAUACAAAAACAGCUAGUAAUAAACGAAAUUUAGAUGAAAGUAGCUGUGAAAUCAUGGAUUGUUCUGAGCCAGCUCCAAAAAAGGAGAAGAUCUCGUCAAAUGAAGAUGGUGAAAAAAUGGAUACUACUGAACAUAGUAUAAAACAAACUAUAUUUUCAAAAGAAUACAUAUUAAACUUUCCAAUAUCUGUGGAUGAUGGUAAAGCUUGUAUUGUCAAGAUAUACGAGGAAGCAGCUUUAAAACUGAACGAAGUUAUUGAAAUAAUAGGAUUCAUAUCUUUAAACCCUUGUCAAAAUACUAUAGAUGACUUCGAGAUGACAGAAGCUGAAAUGAAUGUUCACCAUCCACCCACUUCUAUCGUUCCUCGGCUACACGCUGUAAAAAUAAUUCGUCUUUCUAAACAGGGUAUUGAAAAUGUUCCAGAAAUAUUGUCUAAAGCACAAUUAAUAAGAAGCGACCUUCACAUGAUGUUCAGUCAACUUCUCUUUGGGGAUGAACUAGCUGCUGAUUAUCUAAUCUGUCAUCUACUCUCUUCAAUCUAUUUGAGGAGAGAAUACUUUCAUCUUGGUGCUUAUCCAUUAAAUAUAACACAUUUUCCUGUUGCUAAAUACAAGACAUUCGCGAAAGAUUUGUAUAAAUUUUUAACGCUACUUAUAGAAAAGAGCCAUUUAUUGGAAAUUACUCUGGAAAACUUAAACGAUUUGACCUUAUCACCAAAGAAAGACUAUGAAUCCAAUAGGCUAACCAGUGGAGUGCUUCAACUUAGCGACAACACUCAUCUCGUAAUAGACGAGACGGAAUUAACUGUUGGUCAAGUUUCGGAAGCUGGGCGAGAAAAUUACAACACGAUUUGCGAGUUAAUUAAUUUCCAACGAGUGAUGUACGACUUUAAAUUUUAUAAAAUGGAGUACGAGACUGAUAUUCCGGUUUUGAUUUUAUCAGAAUUGAAGUCGUUUAUUCCUUGUCAGACCCAAGUUGCUUUGAAGGUCGAUUCAGAAUCAGAAAAUCUUUACCCGAAAGUAUUGGAAGUCGCGGAACAAUAUUUAAAAAAUGAAAAUCGACUAACAAAUAUACGUCAGUAUUUAAAUCAUCUAAAAAAUGUGAAAUUUGAUUUCAACGAAAAUAUAUUAAAUGAAAUUCAAAGUGAUUUUGUACAGAUGAGACAAACGAGGAAAAAUAUAACAAUGGAUCAUUUACAUGGAUUAAUGAUCCUGGCUAGAUUGAUGUCGUUAUCGCACGGAUCGAACACGUUAACUGCAGAGUACUGGAAAAAAGCUGUUGAAAUGGAAGUAAAGAGAUUAGACAGAUUGCCAGAGAAGAAAUGAAAUAAAAUGGUGUGCGUGGUCUACAGUUUGAAAAUCAAAGUUAAUCGUCUAGAGUGAUAAUUGAACGAAGCGUUGGUUCAAAUCCCGCUUGGAUGCUGCAGCGAUUAGAUUUUAAGACAGGUUGUAAACUCAAAGUCCCCUGGCUACCAAUGACCGUGUUAAUCGAUCCAAAUGAAUCCAUGAAAAACAGUCGAAUAUAAAGGAUUUUGAUUAUACUUUAUUCCAUUGCUCGAUCAUGGAAUGUUAGCAGUCAAACAAUUGCAGACUUUCAAGACUUGAAGUAUCGGUUACCAAUGACCACCGUGUUAAUCGAUCCAAAUGAAUCCAUGAAAAACAGUCGAAUAUAAAGGAUCUUGACUAUAUUUUAUUCCAUUGCGCGAUCAUGGAAUGUUAACAGUCGAACGAUUUGAAUCUUCGAUAUAAUUUAUAAUAGAUCCAAGUAUUGGUAUAGGUUGCUUAUUAUUAAAAGAAAAAGUCCACUAUAAAUGUAAAAGUAGAAGGAAAUUGAGGCGCGUUACGCAAAGUGAGACUGCGACCGAAGCGGUUUUUGUUUGUUGUGGGAAAGCAGACGAGCCUUACCCGGGCAAAUGAGCGCCAUAAUUUUGCCUAAAGAAGCGUUUCCUUUGUUCUUCGGCGACUGGAUCGAAAACCAUUUUCUUAUUGUUU